GUUUGUAGCUCAGUUGGUAGAUUAUGGCGCUUUCAAUGCCAGGAUAGUGGGUUUGAUUCCCACAAACA
rfam:Salmo salar isolate Sally breed double haploid chromosome ssa17, whole genome shotgun sequence.